GUGGAAGUUCUCAAGCUGUGGGAUGUGGAAACAGGUACAUGCAAGCAUACAUUUGGGGAUCAUGGCUUCAUUGUCAGUUCAUGUGCUUGGUUUCCCGACUCAAAGCGAUUUGUCUGUGGCAGUUCCGACCCCGAAAAGGGCAUCUGCAUGUGGGACUGUGAUGGGAACGAGAUAAAAGCUUGGAGGGGCACAAGGAUGCCUAAGGUUUUGGAUCUUGCUGUGACGCCAGAUGGAGAACAUCUUAUCAGUGUAUUUUCUGAUAAGGACAUUCGGAUAUUCAAUUUGGUAACCAGUGCUGAACGAGUCAUCUCUGAGGAGCACCCAAUCACCUCCCUGUCAGUUUCCACUGACGGCAAGUUCUUUAUCGUCAAUCUUAACAGCGAAGAGAUCCAUAUGUGGGAUGUUGCUGGAAAAUGGAAGAAGGCAUUAACAUAUGUGGGCCACAAACAACGCAAGUAUGUCAUACGUUCAUGCUUUGGUGGUUUGAAUAACUCAUUUAUUGCCAGUGGCAGUGAGAGUUCACAGGUCUAUAUCUGGAAUUGGCGAAACCCUAAGCCAAUAGAGGUUUUAUCUGGCCAUUUAAUGACAGUGAACUGUGUGAGCUGGAAUCCUAGAAGGCAUCAAAUGCUGGCAUCAGCAAGUGAUGAUCAUACAAUCCGUAUAUGGGGGCCAAGCCAAUCCAAGAAUAUACAGCAUGAGAAGCUCAUUUGAAGGAAAAAAAAAAAAAAAAAUCAGCCUUUGAGCCUUGCAUGUAUAGCUUAUAUUCUCAUCAAUUUGUUAUUCUUUUGUAAGUUUUGUAAAUUGGUGGCAUCCUGUUGUCCCUUCUCAAAUUUGGCGCACAUUAUCCCCUGUAAAUCUCCAUUCCUUCUAGGUGUCUGGCAGGUUUUAGUUUCCACUAAGAGGUGUUGAGAAGGUAGGUCGUAAGUCUAAUAAAUAUUCUAGAACAGCUGGGAUUUGAUAUUGUUGCAUUUGUAUGCUAU
rnacentral:misc_RNA from 1 species